UACGAAGGGGGCUAGCGUUGUUCGGAAUUACUGGGCGUAAAGCGCGCGUAGGUGGUUUGUUAAGUUGGAUGUGAAAUCCCCGGGCUCAACCUGGGAACUGCAUCCAAAACUGGCAAGCUAGAGUAUGGUAGAGGGUGGUGGGAUUUCCUGUGUAGCGGUGAAAUGCGUAGAUAUAGGAAGGAACACCAGUGGCGAAGGCGACCACCUGGACUGAUACUGACACUGAGGUGCGAAAGCGUGGGGAGCAAACAGG
rnacentral:rRNA from 1 species